rnacentral:rRNA from 1 species
UAGGAAUCUUCACAAUGGGCGCAAGCCUGAUGGAGCAACACCGCGUGAGUGAAGAAGGGUUUCGGCUCGUAAAGCUCUGUUGUUAAAGAAGAACACGUAUGAGAGUAACUGUUCAUACGUUGACGGUAUUUAACCAGAAAGUCACGGCUAACUACGUGCCAGCAGCCGCGGUAAUACGUAGGUGGCAAGCGUUAUCCGGAUUUAUUGGGCGUAAAAGAGAGU